GUGCCAGCAGCCGCGGUAAGACGAACCACCCAAACGUUAUUCGGAAUUACUGGGCUUAAAGGGUGCGUAGGCGGCGCGGAAAGUCAGAUGUGAAAUCCCUCGGCUCAACCGAGGAACUGCGUUUGAAACUACCGUGCUUGAGUAAGACAGAGGUAAGCGGAACUUCGGGUGGAGCGGUGAAAUGCGUUGAUAUCCGAAGGAACACCGGUGGCGAAAGCGGCUUACUGGGUCUUUACUGACGCUGAUGCACGAAAGCUAGGGGAGCAAACGGGAUUAGAAACCCGCGUAGUCC
rnacentral:rRNA from 1 species